rnacentral:rRNA from 1 species
UACGAAGGGGGCUAGCGUUGCUCGGAAUCACUGGGCGUAAAGGGUGCGUAGGCGGGUCUUUUAGUCCGGGGUGAAAUCCUGGAGCUCAACUCCAGAACUGCCUUUGAUACUGAAGAUCUUGAGUUCGGGAGAGGUGAGUGGAACUGCGAGUGUAGAGGUGAAAUUCGUAGAUAUUCGGAAGAACACCAGUGGCGAAGGCGGCUCACUGGUCCGGUGCUGACGCUGAGGUGCGAAAGCGUGGGGAGCAAACAGG